UUCACAUGUCAAGGAAAGCAGUAACAUCAACAAAGAUAGCCAUGCCGCAGUUAUAAUCUAGAAAGGGAAAACUAGAAACAUGGCAUAAACAACAUUCUUGGCACUUCACUUGGGACUGGGAGAAGAAUAUGCCGCAGUUAUAAUCUAGAACGGGAAAACUAGAAACAUGGCAUAAACAACAUUCACAGCCAGCAUUUAUCAUAGUCUGUACAAUUAAUUCACAGCCAUACCAAACAGAAGAUAAACUAUUUCCAAAAUGUUCCAACCAGGUAAAGUUUCUAGUCAAGCCUGACCAAUGCUGUAU
rnacentral:lncRNA from 1 species